rnacentral:rRNA from 1 species
AACGUAGGAGACAAACGUUAUCCGGAGUUACUGGGCGUAAAGGGCGUGUAGGUGGUAUCGUAAGUCUGGCGUGAAAUUUCUCGGCUUAACCGAGGCAGGUCGUCGGAUACUGCGAGGCUAGAGGACGGUAGAGGCGUGUGGAAUUCCCGGUGUAGCGGUGAAAUGCGCAGAUAUCGGGAGGAACACCAGUGGCGAAGGCGGCACUCUGGGCCGGAACUGACGCUGAGGAGCGAAAGCGUGGGGAGCGAACAGG